UGGAUGAAAAGAAUUAGUGCCCACCAAAAAUUGUGCAAAAAGAGCAAAUGAAAUACUUUAUCAAAGAGUAUUCAUUUAAUUUGUCAUCAAAUCCUGAUCGUAUGGCUUCGCACAACCAUGACAACGAACUAAGAAAAAAUGGAACCACUUUUAUACGUGGCUUACACAAACGGGUAUCUAACGUUGGGCGCUGUAUUCGUGUAUGGUAUUUUUUAUCAAAAUAAAAGUGUUCCAUCCAUGAUACGUCGCAAUGUCAAGCAUACAGAUUCCCGAGCUUGCUCACUGUUUACUCUGGGCCCAACUAGAUAACCCUUUAGGAAGAGAUUAGAGACCAUAUAGUUCUCAUCAUGCAUAUGGCCAAUUUCCGAAUCCUUAUAUAUAUAACAAAAAUCGUUUCCAUACAAUUUCAUCCAUAGUGCGGUUUCCUUGAAGCAAGUUCGAUUUACUGGAAAUGUGCUACGAAAUUUGCUUACUGCUGCUUGCUCCGCAGGAUCGUUUUGAGACAUUCUCGAUUGAAGGCCACGUACAAACCCUCCUCUCAAGUGGCUAAAAUUGGUAUUUCUAGUGGGAACGAUUUUAAUGGCAUACUUCAUUUCGUUUUUCAAUAGCGCUGCCACGAUCCGACUUCCAAUUUCUUCGUCUUUCAUACUCAUUUCUAGCCCUAAUUUCGGAUCUACCUCCUUUUGCAAUAUAGUGUGAACGGUUUGAACAUCUUUCUUCUGAAUAUACAAUUCGAUAUCAUACACAUGAAUACUUAGAAAAGAAACAUAUCGCGGUCCUGAACCUAACAAAAAUAGUUCAUCCUCAUUAUUAAUUCUUUUUUGAACUAAUCCUUCGUAUGUUUGUUGAAUUGUCUUGGUGACACUCUCACAGUAUAGAGGGCGAGUUUGAUACAUGGCAUUUAUUGUUGCUACUGAGCUCCAAAAGACCAAUCCUGGUCGUUUCGAUAACCAAUUCUUGCAAAAUUGAUAAGCAAAAAAACGAGUACCAAACAUGUUGUUUAGUUUAAAUACACACACACAGAUAUUAGCCGGUUGGUAUUGGAUCACAUGUUUUUCCAAGAGAUCCUAGAUUUUAAGGAGGU